UACGUAGGGGGCAAGCGUUGUCCGGAAUUAUUGGGCGUAAAGAGCGUGUAGGCGGCCAGAUAAGUCCGCUGUGAAAUCUCGAGGCUCAACUUCGAGCUGUCGGUGGAAACUAUCUGGCUAGAGUCCGGAAGAGGAGAAUGGAAUUCCUGGUGUAGCGGUGAAAUGCGCAGAUAUCAGGAGGAACACCUGUGGCGAAAGCGGCUCACUGGACCACAACUGACGCUAAUGCACGAAAGCUAGGGGAGCAAACAGG
rnacentral:rRNA from 1 species